UUCAGAAGCACCUGCAGAGCUUCUCGAAACUCUUGGCCAGCCCUGUCGCCAGAGUUUCUGAUUUGGUAGGUCUAGAAUGGCACCGGGAAUUUGCACUUCAGCAAGUGAUCAAGUGAUGGCAAAGCUGCUGGUAGGAGGACCGAGCUCCAAGAACCACUGUUCUAAGGUGCUCCUCCGGUGGAAGCAGUGGUUAUGCAUUUGAGGUGUUGAAGGAUGCAAGGAAUCUCUCAUUGCACGGACCCUCUGAUUAUGGUGAAAGAACAGUUUGUCAUAAUUUUACAGAAGGCAUACCAGAGGAUCAAGAUGAACAUUGGCUCAGGGAGGAUCUACUCUCAACCAUAGGGAUAAUCUUGGAUUUUCAUUGAUCAUUCCCUUUUCAUUUUUCUUUGUCUUUUCUUUCCAGUUUGCUUUUGUAUUUCCUUACCUUCAUUACCAGGUCAUUUUCCUUAAUUCCUUCUUUUUGGAAAACAGCAUGAAUAAGUGGAAGGAACACGAAUUUUGGAGUAUAAAUAGACCUGAGUUUCAAUACAACUU